UCUGUGAAUACUGCUUUGGAGUUUUUGGAACACUUCCUUCUCAAAAGCUGACAGCACAAAACUACUCUCUGAGUCUCCCAAAAGUUCAAACAGCAAUACAGGUAUUCUACAGAAGAAGAGUUGAAAGCAGUGCUCAAGUGAAAUGCAGUGAGUGUGGGAAGGAGAGGAUUUGCCAACAUGUUUGCAUGACAUAAAAAAAUAUUUUCAGACAAUACAGCUAUGUGAUUACUGCUUCAGAGAUAUGAACAGAUCUGACAAUCAGAGCAAAGUUAAAUGCCUACGAAUGAACUUUUUCAAAAGGAGAUGAAAUAUCCCAUUAGAAGAGUAUAAACCAAAGUAGAGGUGAAAACUAUUCAGUGUGGCUAUUUCACUUCAUUACCAGUUAUGUUGUUCAAAUUGAUACAAAUGAUCUCCUUCUGUUUCUGACUGUCAGUUUGUCUGAUUAGUCCAACUAAUUGUUCGGGCUGGGAAGAUCUCCUAUAUCUAAAUAGAAGAUGUGUGGUUUGUAACCUGCUUAAUUCGCCUUAUGUCCUGCAUGGCCCUCAGUAUGGUGUUCAUUAAAAUAUCAGCUGUUUUGGUUAUAGAAAUGGCAGUAUAAGCAUAGGCAUAUUUUUCUUUGUUAAAACGGCCAGAUUGUCCAUAAAUAAUACACACCUUGUUGAAAAUGGCAAGAAAUCAUCAGGUACAUAUGAUGGCAUUUUUAAAUUUCUCCAUGUCGCAUCUCCUCAUACUGCUACAUUGAAGACAAUGACAGCAAGGAUAUUAGAUGACAGAGCUUUAGGGCAGAAUGAGGUCGACUAGUCCAAAGCCUAAAUUUUGGCAUUUGUGUUGCAACUUAACAUUUGAAUGACAAAUACGGGCUGCAAAUCUAGAACUGUUGAGUGCGCACACUCACAUAUUUGAGGUUUUCUUCUCCCCCCCCCGCGAAAGUGGCUGCUAUACUUAAGUGGAUUAGCAAUUCAGCACUAAGAGUUAUUAAUGGGCAAAGAAAGAAAAAAGAUGUCAUGUUGUAUUUCUCUCCAUCCAUGCUUUAUUCCAAAACCACAACGGUUAUUUUUCUGUAUCAGUGUUUUCAAAUGGAGAAAGAAAAAACUUGGAGGAAGAACUAUGUUUGGUUCCCAAGACAAUCACGAUGCUCUGUUGGCAGUUUUGCUACCAUGGAAACUUUCCAGGGCCUUCUCUGUGGUGACACCUAGGUUAUGGAAUCCUCUCCCCUCCAAGGUACAUCUGUAUACCUUCCAUUGGCAGACCAAGACACACCUUUCUGCAUAGGCCUUUGGAGAUGGAAGAUGAGUGAAGAAUAUCUCUUAUGCAAUGUUGUUUUGCUUGACAUUAUGUACUGCAUGAUUUGCUUGUUAAACUGGGCUACAUGAAAUUAGCCCUGGGACUGCAUGGUGAAGGAAAAGCUAUAAAUGCAUCUUUAGAAUUUCAACAAACUCUGAGAACUUGGAAGCAAAACACAGAUUAAAUCAAUAAUAAAAGCAGUUAGAGUUUUACAAGAUUGUUAAAAAAUGAUGACUGGGCAGGCACAGAACCCAUGUGUGAACACAGACACCAAGAAAGAAUCUAAUAGUAUUUGAGAGUUAAAAUACCUUUAUCCUACAACGUUAGAAGUGCCACUGUCAAAACAUAUUUCCACUCUACUCUACCUCAUGUAUGACACACAUUAAGAAUCUAUGUAAAAUAAAUGUAUAAACUGCAAUCCAAAGACCUGCAAUAGGAGCUGUCUGUUUCUUUGCUGUUGGGCUUUUUUCAAGUGUACAUCAGUGGUGAUCUUCGAGAAAUCUAGAUGGUCAUUUAUCUUUCCAACACACCAUUAGUGUUAACACCAUUCUUGGGAUUUAUUUAUUAAAAAUAUUUUAUAUUAUUGUUUACAGAACAAUAAAACAACAUAACUAAAUAUAACAAUAAAAGCUAAAUCAAUAAGACAGCAGUAUGACAUCACUAUCAAUUACAGUAGCCAGAGAAACCAGGAACCUGUAUUAAUGGUCAGGAACAGCUUGGGUAAAGACGAAUAUUUUAAAUUGUUGAUAGAAGCACCCAACAGUUAGUGCCCACCAGAUCUCUGGGGGAGAUCUUUCCACAAGGUAGGCACCACCAUGAAGGAAGCCCUUCUCUGAACCACUGUGCGGUAGUACUGUUCACAGGGCCUCCAGAGAUCGCUGUAUCUGGGCUGGUAACUUGGUCUGAGCAGUUUGGGGCUUUACAACUCAGUACUAAAACUUUAAACUCAGCUCAAUAGCUAACUGGCAGCCAAUGCAGUUCUUUCAGAACAGGUGUUAUAUUGUGUGUAGAAGGAAGCUACAUUUAGCAGCUUUGCUGCCACUUUCUGUACCAACAAGCUCCACAUAUGAGGGUUAUGAGAAAACCAGGGUUUAUUUAUUAUAUGACAUGCAAGUUUACUUUUUAACGUAUGCACAGAUCACUAAACAAUUCCUAGAGUUGGCCAGAAAAAGCAGAAUAUUCUAAGUGGGUCAAGCUUCUUUUUGGAGUAUGCAUUCUCUUUGAGUUCCUGUCAAAAGUUAUCUCAGGGUGCAACCAAAUACAGGUAACAUGGGGACACAGACUUGUUUAAAUUGGUUUAAAUAUAUUUAAACGUAUUAUGUUAAUGAUAGUGUAAUCCUUCAGAAAAAAAUAAUGCUGCUCGCUGUGUUUAAUGCUGAAUCCAAAAAGAACACUGUAUAUGAAAAUAUUAAACAGAUUACAAGACAGGAGGACAACAUUGUUUAAGAAGCAAGUGACAAACACAAUUAUUACAAGACAUAAGUGGAAAAGUGAUAUGGCAAUGGCCUUUGUCACUACAGAUCUGUAGCCGUUCAAGUAAAAGCAAACAAUACAGAAGCUAUUAUUAAUAAAUGACUAUUAAAAGCUUGCUAAGUAAGCAUCUGGUGUUGGAAGUAGCAGAAGAAAGCUUUGCUGCUAUUUAGAGGGGAUAAAAUAUGGCAGACUGGAAAAGUUUCAGCAGUGAAUGCUCUACCCAGGCCUGAAUUGUUCAUCAGCAUCCUAUUCCAGACAAAAAAUUUGAACGAUAUCCUAAAACACCUGCCAAAUUAUAAUGAAUUCUUGUUUGCUUAGUUAUCUACCUACACAAUUGACUCCAGUACUCAGUUAUUUACACCUAGGAUGCUGAAAUUAUUUAGGAAGCAUCCAAAUAAAAGCAAGCUCUAUUCAAAAGGGAAAGAACACCUGAAAAUGUUACAAGAUAGGACAACACUACAAUUAUUACAAGAUACAAGUUGAAAAGUGAUAGACCAAUUGCCUUUUCUUAUGUAUCAAGUACAAUUUCUUAAGGAAUACUUUCUGCACCUUUCUGCACCUAUAGCACUAAAGCAACACACAAAGCGUUUGAGAAGCUUCCAUGGAAACUCACCCAGAAACUGUCAGACCGGAUACAAUUACUAGGGAAUAUUCCCAGUGACUGUUCUUAUUUUCUUGGUUAUUCCAGAAAAUGCAAUGUAGGAAGUAUUUCUACUAUUGUCUAUAUCAGGGGUAGCCAACAUGGUGCCCUCCAAAUCACUGGUAGCCUACAUGAUGCCUUCCCUGACCAUUGGCCAUACUGGUGGGGCUGAUGGGAGUCGUAGACCAACAUCAUUCAGAGGGUACUACCCUGGCAUGACUGCACCUAUAUUGUUUUCCGCAGUUUACGGAAUUUAGUCCAUCAAUGGCUUAAGUCCCAUUGAUUUCAGUGGGUUAAGAGGACCUGGCCCCAAGAAAUUUAGGCCCUUGAAAAUUAAUGAAGGAAAAAUGGAUUUCUUUCCCCUUUGUCACACACAGCAGGCGUUAAAAGCAGGCCUGUGUCUACCAAGCAGAAAAAGGGUUAAGCUCACCCCGUUGUAAAAUUCCUGAGCAUCUUUUGGUGCCAAAUGGCUAAAUGUGUGACCAGAGAUCAUUUAUUUAGUAUUGUUUCUCUUGAUUAAUAUACCUGUUACUAUGUGAUCUUGGAAACCAGGUUUCUGAGAUUAUAGAGCAGUUAAGAGAAAAUCUUCAUAACAGAAUCAGAAGUGGAAGACAAGAUAAAAUUUUAGUUUGAUAUUCAAUUUUUAUAAUAGCAUGAUAUGUAUAAUUUUAUUCCAUAAAUGUAAUAAUUGUGUGGGCCACUUUUCUGCUCCCCUCUGUGUUUGAUGGAGAGUGGCUUGCUGCCAUUUACCCCUUUUCCUUCAUUGUGUUCCCUAAUCAUUCUUUGUAUUAUAUUCUUUAUAUUAUGUGGCUUUUGAUUGUAGUAUGGUGAUAUAAACUUAAUCUUUCUCUAUAGCAGUGUAGUAUAUAGAAUUUUCCAGUCACUUUAACCAAAAUUGGCCUUGCAUCAUGGUAUUGUCUAAAGGAACAUGCCGUUAUGUCCUAUGUCCUGUGGAUGUUCUUGACCAGCUUGACUGGUCAGGAGCCAUGAUAGAAUGGAAUGUAAAUGGUACAUAUUGGUUUCAGAACAGUACAAGAUCAUCAGUAAUAUAUGACAGUAGAAUGGUGAGAUCUGAAAAAGGGAACAGGUUGACAUCAAUGAAUACUAUGGGAGAUGGGAGGUAUGAAUAUACCUGUAUUCAUUUUAAUAAAGUUAUCUGGUUGGUUGGAAAUAUUUCAAGAGGGAAGAAACUGUUAUGUUACAUAGAAAAGAAUUUGGGGAAUUGGUUAAAUGAUUGUCACAUGCUGAAAUUGUACUUUAUAAAAGGAGCUUGCACACAGUGCCUCUUUGCAGUCCCUCUUGGAUACUUCCUGGAUGUGUUCUGGGGGGACUGACCUUGCAUAUGCUUGUUUUAUUUUUUAAAAUAAAGGCCUACCUUUUUGCUUUAAGCCUGU